rnacentral:misc_RNA from 1 species
UUUCCGUAGGUGAACCUGCGGAAGGAUCAUUAAAGAGUAAGGGUCUUCGGGCCCGACCUCCAACCCUUUGUUUAACUACCAUGUUGCUUUGGCGGGCCCGUCUCACGACCGCCGGAAGUUUGGCUUCGACCAAACUUCUGGUCCGUGCCCGUCAGUGGCCCCUUCAAAUUCUUGAUAAAGUAUGAUGUCUUAGUUAAAAACUUAAUAGUUAAAACUUUCAACAACGAAUCUCUUGGUUCUG